rnacentral:rRNA from 1 species
GGAAUCUUGCGCAAUGGGCGAAAGCCUGACGCAGCAACGCCGCGUGCGGGAUGACGGCCUUCGUGGUUGUAAACCGCUUUCAGCAGGGACGAAACUGACGGUACCUGCAGAAGAAGCCCCGGCUAACUACGUGCCAGCAGCCGCGGUAAUACGUAGGGGGCAAGCGUUGUCCGGAUUCAUUGGGCGUAAAGAGCUCGUAGGCGGUUCAGUAAGUCGGGUGUGAAAGCUCCGAGCUCAACUCGGAGAGGCCACCCGACACUGCUGUGACUCGAGUCCAGUAGAGGAGCGUGGAACUCCUGGUGUAGCGGUGGAAUGCGCAGAUAUCAGGAAGAACACCUGCAGCGAAGGCGGCGCUCUGGGCUGGUACUGACGCUGAGGAGCGAAAGCGUGGGUAGCAAA